rnacentral:tRNA from 1 species
GGGGAUGUGGCUCAGUGGUAGAGUGCUCACCUAGCAUGUGCGAGGGCCUGAGGGCCUGGGUUCGAUCCUCAGCAUCGCAU